rnacentral:rRNA from 1 species
GAUGAACGCUGGCGGCGUGCCUAAUACAUGCAAGUCGAGCGAACGGACGAGAAGCUUGCUUUUCUGAUGUUAGCGGCGGACGGGUGAGUAACACGUGGAUAACCUACCUAUAAGACUGGAAUAACUUCGGGAAACCGGAGCUAAUACCGGAUAAUAUUUUGAACCGCAUGGUUCAAAAGUGAAAGACGGUCUUGCUGUCACUUAUAGAUGGAUCCGCGCUGCAUUAGCUAGUUGGUAAGGUAACGGCUUACCAAGGCAACGAUGCAUAGCCGACCUGAGAGGGUGAUCGGCCACACGGGAACUGAGACACGGUCCAGACUCCUACGGGAGGCAGCAGUAGGGAAUCUUCCGCAAUGGGCGAAAGCCUGACGGAGCAACGCCGCGUGAGUGAUGAAGGUCUUCGGAUCGUAAAACUCUGUUAUUAGGGAAGAACAUAUGUGUAAGUAACUGUGCACAUCUUGACGGUACCUAAUCAGAAAGCCACGGCUAACUACGUG